ACCUACGGGAGGCAGCAGUGAGGAAUAUUGGUCAAUGGGCGGUAGCCUGAACCAGCCAAGUAGCGUGAAGGAUGAAGGUUCUAUGGGUUGUAAACUUCUUUUAUAAAGGAAUAAAGUGAGGCACGUGUGCCUUUUUGUAUGUACUUUAUGAAUAAGGAUCGGCUAACUCCGUGCCAGCAGCCGCGGUAAUACGGAGGAUCCGAGCGUUAUCCGGAUUUAUUGGGUUUAAAGGGAGCGUAGAUGGGUUGUUAAGUCAGUUGUGAAAGUUUGCGGCUCAACCGUAAAAUUGCAAUUGAUACUGGCGU
rnacentral:rRNA from 1 species